GUGUCAUGUAAGUUCAGGGCUCUCUGUGAUUAUUCCUCAUAAGAAUCCUGAGAGAAACAAUUGAGUAUUUAGCUGUAUCCAUCAGUUCAUCAUCUGAAGCAGCCUGGAGCCAAGAGCAAAGUAACAGAAACUUGCACAAUGGAGCAAAAGCUUGGAUUUGGCUUUGCCAACAAUAAUUGAUCUUUGAGAAUAAUGACAGAAGAACUGGAGCACUAGCAGCUUUUUGGACCAUGAGGUGACACUGAGGAUUAAGGCCUUACAAUGAGGACGAUGGAGCAGAAAAAGAGAGAGGGAUGUUUUCUGAUGCCUCCAUGGUGCCAAUUAACAAACCUGGACUGUCUACUUCUGAUUCCCUUUCCUGUGAGCAAAUGAAUUUGUGUGUGUGUGUGUGUGUGUGUGUGUGUGUGUUUAAUCACUAAUAUUUUUGGAUUUUU